UACGAAGGGUGCAAACGUUGCUCGGAAUCAUUGGGCGUAAAGCGCACGUAGGCGGCCUGUUAAGUCGAACGUGAAAUCCCCGGGCUCAACCCGGGAACUGCGUCCGAUACUAGCAGGCUUGAAUUCGGGAGAGGGAUGCGGAAUUCCAGGUGUAGCGGUGAAAUGCGUAGAUAUCAGGAGGAACACCGGUGGCGAAGGCGGGUCUCUGGGCCGAUACUGACGCUGAGGAGCGAAAGCGUGGGGAGCAAACAGG
rnacentral:rRNA from 1 species